rnacentral:misc_RNA from 1 species
UAGGAUGGGUCUAACUGACUGAAUUAGGGGCUCCCAGUAGAGACAUAACCCCAUCAAUGAAUGGUAAUGAUGAUUUAGGCCACAUGGUAGAAAACCUGAAGUUCGAAAUAGCUGUCCUAAACAAGGGAGGAUAUGUGCAUGCCCUGAACAUGCAAACCUUAAAACCCCUGAUCGUAUGUCAAAUAAUGGAACAAGAUUCCAACAAGUGCUCUUUCAUACUCCUUGAACAAAAAAAGUACGUACACAGUAUAAAAGUUCAUCGCCAUUUAGACUUGCAAACAUACACUGAAAACACACAUGCACAUAUUAAAGUCAACAGAGGUGUGAAAAGAAUCCUAGAUAUGAGCAAAAUCCAUUUUAAAAGUUAAUAGGACAACCAAUAGAUAACCUAAAUUGAAGCACCUUUGAUGGGGCAAUUGUUUUAUUUCUCGUCUCUGGGUAUUAAUUUCAAAGCAAAAAAUAAAUUGCUCAAAUAUGAUAGUAUUUCAAUCUUCACUCUCAAGAUGCAUUUCAAAAAAAAUUUCCUUAAAACUAUAGGGAAUGA